CUUCACGGCUUCAACUUGAGAAUUCCCAAUCUUGUUUGAUCUCGGAAGCUAAGCAGGAGUUACUGGUUACUACAUGGAUGGGAGACCAUUGGUUAUACCAGGUGCCACAGUGGGGC
rnacentral:rRNA from 1 species